rnacentral:misc_RNA from 1 species
GAUGAAGAACGCAGCGAAAUGCGAUAAGUAGUGUGAAUUGCAGAAUUCAGUGAACCAUCGAAUCUUUGAACGCACAUUGCGCCCCUUGGUAUCCCGAGGGGCAUGCCUGUUCGAGCGUCAUUUCACCACUCAAGCCUGGCUUGGUGUUGGGCGACGUCCUCUUUGGGGACGCGCCUCGAAACGCUCGGCGGCGUGGCACCGGCUUUAAGCGUAGCAGAAUCUUUCGCUUUGGAAGUCGGGGCCCCGUCUGCCGGAAGACCUGCUCGCAAGGUUGACCUCGGAUCAGGCAGGGAUACCCGCUGAACUUAAGCAUAUCAAUAAGCGGAGGA